UGGUAUCCCCCAGUCAUGGAAGAGGGGUCUAUUGUGCUCAGCUCUGUAGAAAUACAGAACAAAAAGAUGGUCCUUGUACCGAAGAGCAUUGCAAUCUAAGAAAACCAGAUGGUGGUGGAGGAAGCACAAGAUAACUUAAUCUGGGACCCAGCUUCAAACUUCAGAGCUUUUUACAGAUAAAAUGGGAGUCCAUGGAUCAAUGCACAUGGACAAAUGUCUGCACCACUGAAUCUGAGCAACUAAAAGCAUCAUUGUGCAAAAAAUAAAAGCCCUGACUCAUGGAGUGAUGUUGCUAUUGUCUCUUUCAAUAAAGUUUCCUUUUUAACGAUGCUUCCCAACAGCAGAACUGGUCUGAUGAUGCAGAGCAGGCUUUUGGCAUUUGGAAGUAUUGGAGUGUCAAAUGUGUAAGAUUGGAAGAAGAAAACAAGCUUUCCUGCUUUUUUCAAAUCCCAAUUGGUUUCUUAACUUUGAAUGAACUGGUCAUUUAACUGAACUAGUUGAAUAAAACUGAAAUGAAGAAAAUAAUUCUCUCAGCACCUGCAGAAGAGACGACUGCUGUCAAAAGUUCGUUUAGCCAUUCAACAAACUCUGGUUGCAGGUGUUUAGCCAGUGACUUUCACCAGUUCAAUGAUUUGACUUCCUUUAAAACUUGGCAGAUAAUAUAUACUGCUUAAUAUUUUUUAAAUUUAAUUUAAAUGUUUUAAUAGAUUACAAAUUUAGGCCUUUACUUA